UACGGAGGGUGCGAGCGUUGUCCGGAAUCACUGGGCGUAAAGGGCGCGUAGGCGGCCGUGUAAGUCACUUGUGAAAUCCCGGGGCUCAACUCCGGGGCUGCAGGUGAGACUGCAUGGCUAGAGCACGGUAGAGGCGAGUGGAAUUCCCGGUGUAGCGGUGGAAUGCGUAGAUAUCGGGAAGAACACCGGUGGCGAAGGCGGCUCGCUGGGCCGUUGCUGACGCUGAGGCGCGAAAGCGUGGGGAGCAAACAGGAUUAGAUACCCUGGUAGUCCACGCCGUAAACGAUGGGUACUAGGCGUCGGGGGGAGCGACCCUCCCGGUGCCGUCGCUAACGCAGUAAGUACCCCGCCUGGGGAGUACGGUCGCAAGACUGAA
rnacentral:rRNA from 1 species